rnacentral:lncRNA from 1 species
CUUCCUUGCCCUCGAGGGCUGGGCCUAAACUGAGCACAGCAGAAUUACAGGGUUUCAAGAAGCCCUCUCUUCAAAGUAUCCUCACAUCUGAAGAGGAGGGCUCACUGUCAAGUAGAUCCAGGGCCACAGAGCAUGUACUCAGAAGCCAAGAGAAUCACAUUCUUCAGUCCAAAAGUUUAAUGCACUUAUCUGUAGGCAUUUAGCAGAAGAAAUGGAAAUAUAUUUUGAGGAAGAGAGGACAAAUUCUCACAGAAAGUAUCUGACCAGCAAUCAGUGUGCUCCUGGAGGAGAUUCAAGGAUAGGAAUUUUGAAGAACUAG